AUUGAACGCUGGCGGCAGGCCUAACACAUGCAAGUCGAGCGGGGUUUUCGGACCUAGCGGCGGACGGGUGAGUAAUGCGUAGGAAGCUACCCGAUAGAGGGGGAUACCAGUUGGAAACGACUGUUAAUACCGCAUAAUGUCUACGGACCAAAGUGUGGGACCUUCGGGCCACAUGCUAUCGGAUGCGCCUACGUGGGAUUAGCUAGUUGGUGAGGUAAUGGCUCACCAAGGCGACGAUCCCUAGCUGGUUUGAGAGGAUGAUCAGCCACACUGGAACUGGGACACGGUCCAGACUCCUACGGGAGGCAGCAGUGGGGAAUAUUGGACAAUGGGCGCAAGCCUGAUCCAGCCAUGCCGCGUGUGUGAAGAAGGCCUUCGGGUUGUAAAGCACUUUCAGUAGGGAGGAAGCGUUGUGUGUUAAUAGUACACAGCGUUGACGUUACCUACAGAAGAAGCACCGGCUAACUCUGUGCCAGCCGCCGCGGUAA
rnacentral:rRNA from 1 species